GCCUGGGUGGCUCAGUCAGUUGAGCGCCCGACUUCAGCUCAGGUCAUGAUCUCACGGUUCGUGAGUUCGAAUCCCGCGUCAGGCU
rnacentral:tRNA from 1 species